rnacentral:misc_RNA from 1 species
GAUGAAGAACGCAGCGAAAUGCGAUAAGUAAUGUGAAUUGCAGAAUUCAGUGAAUCAUCGAAUCUUUGAACGCACAUUGCGCCCGCCAGUAUUCUGGCGGGCAUGCCUGUUCGAGCGUCAUUUCAACCAUCAAGCCCCCGGCUUGUGUUGGGGACCUGCGGCUGCCGCAGGCCCUGAAAACCAGUGGCGGGCUCGCUGUCACACCGAGCGUAGUAGAUUUUCAUCUCGCUCAGGGCGUGCUGCGGGUUCCGGCCGUAAAAAGCCUUAUUUACCCAAGGUUGACCUCAGAUCAGGUAGGAAGACCCGCUGAACUUAAGCAUAUCAAUAAGCGGAGGA